rnacentral:rRNA from 1 species
AUGCCACCGGCGGGGGAGCCUUGGUUAAUCAAUGGUGACUUCAAUGUAAUCUAUGAGGCGAGGGUCAAGAGCAAUCUCAACCUAAACAGGAGGAUCAUGGGCAGAUUCAGAGCAGCCGUUGACCGAGCUGGGCUGCGAGAGAUCAAAUGCAAGAACAUGUGCUUUACCUGGAGUAAUGAGAGGGAAAACCCCACAUUCAUUGCCAUCGACAAAAUGUUCUGCAAUCUGGAGUGGGAAACCCAAUUCCCCUCCUACAUCCUAAUGGCCGCGUCCACGACAUGCUCAGAUCAUUGCCCUCUGCUGCUGUCCAACGCCGUUGCACCGCACCGCACCGCAAGGCAAUCUUCAGGUUUGAGUUGUUCUGGACAUGGUUCCCGCACUUCUAGCAGACAGUAG